UACGUAGGGGGCUAGCGUUGUCCGGAAUCAUUGGGCGUAAAGAGCGUGUAGGCGGCCCGGUAAGUCCGCUGUAAAAGUCAAAGGCUCAACCUUUGAAUGUCAGUGGAUACUGCCGGGCUAGAGUCCGGAAGAGGCGAGUGGAACUCCUGGUGUAGCGGUGGAAUGCGCAGAUAUCAGGAAGAACACCAACGGCGAAGGCAGCUCGCUGGGACGGUACUGACGCUGAGACGCGAAAGCGUGGGGAGCGAACAGGG
rnacentral:rRNA from 1 species